AUACGGAGGAUCCGAGCGUUAUCCGGAUUUAUUGGGUUUAAAGGGAGUGUAGGUGGGAUAUUAAGUCAGCUGUGAAAGUUUGGGGCUCAACCUUAAAAUUGCAGUUGAUACUGGUUUCCUUGAGUACGGUACAGGUGGGCGGAAUUCGUGGUGUAGCGGUGAAAUGCUUAGAUAUCACGAAGAACUCCGAUCGCGAAGGCAGCUCACCGGGCCGGAACUGACACUGAUGCUCGAAAGUGCGGGUAUCAAACAGGAUUAGAUACCCUGGUAGUCCGCACAGUAAACGAUGAAUACUCGCUGUUUGCGAUACACGGUAAGCGGCCAAGCGAAAGCGUUAAGUAUUCCACCUGGGGAGUACGCCGGCAACGGUGAAACUCAAAGGAAUUGACGGGG
rnacentral:rRNA from 1 species